GACGAACGCUGGCGGCGUGCUUAACACAUGCAAGUCGUACGGUAAGGCCCUUUCGGGGGUACACGAGUGGCGAACGGGUGAGUAACACGUGAGUAACCUGCCCACAACUUUGGGAUAACGCUAGGAAACUGGUGCUAAUACUGGAUAUGUGCUCCUGCUGCAUGGUGGGGGUUGGAAAGCUCCGGCGGUCGUGGAUGGACUCGCGGCCUAUCAGCUUGUUGGUGGGGUAGUGGCCUACCAAGGCGGCGACGGGUAGCCGGCCUGGGGGGGUGACCGGCCACAUUGGGACUGAGAUACGGACCAGACUCCUACGGGAGGCAGCAGUGGGGAAUAUUGCACAAUGGGCGCAAGCCUGAUGCAGCAACGCCGCGUGCGGGAUGACGGCCUUCGGGUUGUAAACCGCUUUCAGCAGGGACGAAGCUUUUUGUGACGGUACCUGCAGAAGAAGCACCGGCUAACUACGUG
rnacentral:rRNA from 1 species